CACGAAACCAAGGUCCACUCUCAAGCCAAGUCAACUCGUGAACUUAAGAUUCUUCUUCCAAACAUCUUCUGGCCGCUUGAUUAAGCUAAACACGCAAAAAUGGCGCACAAACAGUGUCGACUUCGUUCCAUCAUUGAGUCGCAUCUUCGCUCUUCGUGUGAAUUGAAGAAGACGACGUCUUACUCCGAUAAGCUUCCUCACUGCAAUUUGUUCUGGUAAUACAUGGUGGAACCUCGGCGUCCCCUCGUCUCCAUUGUUGCGUCGCUCGAAUCACAGUUGGUCGCUAUGAAAUCAAUCGCCUUCAGUUCGUGUUUGUGGCCGCUCGACAUCUCAGGUGCGACAAAAACAAAAGCUCGAUGAGCAAAACCCUGAGUUUGCUAAGUGGUUUCUUCAUCGGCACACGAGCGAAACCAAUUCAGUUUCGCCGCACGUCUUGAACGAAUAGGGAUCAAUCACUGCCUUCGUCACGCCAGACUUGUGUGAUCCGACUUCACAAGCUUUGAAGCUACGCAGAACGCAUUGACAAAUUGAAGAAGAGAAUAAGAUACUUACCGGAUCGGAAUUGUCGAAUCUCCAUGGCAUUUCAUUUUGAACUUCAUCAAUCUUGCUGGGAUCGGGGAGGAGUGGAAAACAGGACCGAAGUUCCGUCGCGUUUCAGAAUACAGAAUACAGAACCGAAGCUCUGGGAUCGAGAAGGAGGACAGUUCCAAAACCGGCUUCGGUCGAACUUCACCGUUCACGUCAAUUCAAAUCCGCGCUAACAGACAAAAAACGAUACUGGUUCAAAAUAGGAAGCUCGCCGAAUCGAAGUGUCGUUGAUGAUGAAAUCCGGCCUCAAUUCGUUGUGUGGGAGGAGAAGACAAAGAUGAGUCACGGCUCCCUCGAUUGAAUUUCCACAGUGUUGACGAAUAGCGAAGAUGUUGGAUUAUAGUUCUAUAAUUUGCAGUUGUGAAAAGAGUUGUUCGAAGCCAGAUUAAACAGUACCGAAAUAGGCUUCGCACGACAAAGAUAUGGAAGAAGAGCCUUAUGUUCGAAGUGAAGUCUGCUUUACUGAGUGUUGCAAGGAAGAGGACAAGGUCACACCAAAAUAUCCAGGUGAAUUAUUCUUCCCGAAAUCUCCUCGCUUCGAUUCACUCCUUCUUCUUUGCCAAAAGGGUGAAUUGAAGAAGACUCAAAGGCCAUCAAAGAAGAAGGCUCAAUGGUGAAUUGAAGAAGAAGGCUCAAUGGUGAAUUGAAGAAGAAGGCUCGGAGUGGAUUCUAGAAAACGACUCAAAGUGAAUUGAGGAUGUGUAGGUUGAUAUUGCCGUUUUGGCGGCGUCGUGGAAGGUGUUUGUUGCUGGCUGCGUUUGAAAUUACGUCGCUUAAAUACAGGUUUUGCGGGUUGGCUAUGUCAACUGAGUUGAAAUUAGUCAUGCUGCGGUUAGUAUGCUAACUUAUUAUGUUAUGAGUUAGUUGGGUCACUAAUUGGUUAGUUUUAUGGAUCGUUAAAUCAGUUAGAAGCUCAACUUCGCAUCAAAUCCAAAUGACAAUUGAAUUUCUUCUCAAAUGGACUUAAGUUAGUCGAAAUCUCAUGUUAGCAAAUAUUUUUUGGUUUUUUAAAAUUGCUAUUACAACUGGUUAGCAGGUGUUAAACUUCUAUCCAUGUUAAGUGCAAGUUAGGUUUCAACCUUGUGAACCAAAAGUCGUUGGCUCAAAGCCGGUUUGACAUAGUCCCAGUGAAAGGUUAGUGUUAUUGUUAGUAAAUUAGUCACAUUGUUAUCAUCAGUUAGUCGCGAAAUUGCCGGUUUGUUAUGACCGAAUUUAGUUCCGAAGUUUAUUAGAGAUUUCACUUUAGUUGGAGGUUGGAUGAAUGAUGAAUCUCUGCGUCAUUUUACAUGAUUGUGUGCUAUGUGAUAUGUGCCUUGGUUAUGAGUUAUGCGUGAUGUCGUGAUUUAGUCGAAUGAAUUUGAAAUAUAAUGCACGUGACUGCGGUUUGGAUUUUCUUUUCUUAUUGGCUGUUGUGAUGCAGGUGUGGUGGGGCUUGGCGGGAUGGCAUUUGGCGGCGUCACACUUGAGAUGCAUUACCCAGGAAUGUGACGACUCCGGUGCAUUGAGAAGAUAUUCAUUUCGAAACAGUACUUUAUAGUUAUCUCAUGAACUUGUAUGAAACUCAGAAAUUGCUUUGCAAAUAUCAAUGAAUGAAUAGUGUAGUAUAAAAUUAGCAUAGUCCUUUAUUUACAAAUUUCUGUAAAAUGCAGUAAAAGUAGCAUGGUUUAUUGGUGUGGUAUCCUUAAGUCUUCGUAAACAACUAGGCUCACACUUAGAUUCAUCACUUGGACUAUUGUGCAGAUGAAUCAUUCAGGAACUUUGGAAAACUCACUUUUGAAAUUCAUGGUAUUUCAAUA